CAACAACGGAUCUCUUGGCUCUGGCAUCGAUGAAGAACGCAGCGAAAUGCGAUAAGUAAUGUGAAUUGCAGAAUUCAGUGAAUCAUCGAAUCUUUGAACGCACAUUGCGCCCGCCAGUAUUCUGGCGGGCAUGCCUGUCCGAGCGUCAUUU
rnacentral:rRNA from 1 species